CUCCUAAGAAUAUUUACAUAAUUACAGAAAUUUCUCCUAUAAUCUAGGGAGAGUUGACUGGAUAAAUUUGGAAACUUUCCAACACUCCCCCUCAAGCUGGUUUGAAGAUGUCUUCCAUUGCCAACUUGCCGAUCGAAUAUCUCCUAAGAAUAUUUACAUAAUUACAGAAAUUUCUCCUAUAAUCUAGGGAGAGUUGACUGGAUAAAUUUGGAAACUUUCCAACACUCCCCCUCAAGCUGGUUUGAAGAUGUCUUCCAUUGCCAACUUGCCGAUCAAAUUUUCAAAUUGCUUCUUUGGUAGUCAUUUUGUAAGGAUAUAUGCUACUUGUUCAAUAGUAGAGAUAUAGUGUAAACAAAUCAGUCCACUGUCCAGUUUCUCCUUUAUAAAAUGCUUGUCAACCUCAACAUGUUUUGUUCUAUCAUGAAGCACUGGAUUGUGAGCAAUGGCUAUGGCAGAUUUGUUAUCGCAAUACAGUUUCAUAGGUAGUGGAUUAGUGACUUUCAAUUCUUCCAAUAAUUUUCUAAUCCACAACACUUCAUAAAUUCCAUGAGCAACUGCUUUAAACUCUGCCUCUGCAUUACUCCUAGCUACCACAUUUUGUUUUUUGCUGCACCAUGUAACCAAAUUUCCACCAACAAAGGCACCAUAACCAAGAGUUGAUCUUCUAUCGGUUAUACUCCCGGCCCAAUCUGCAUCAGUGUAUACCUCAACUUAUAGAUGUUUAUGGUCUUCAAACAAUAGACAUUUUCUUGGAGUUCCCUUUAAAUAUCUCAGGAUUCUAUAAACUACAUCAAAGUGGUCAGGCCCUGGCGUGUGCAUGAAUUGGCUUACCAUAGUGACAACAAAGGCUAUGUCAGGACGUGUAUAUGAUAGAUAAAGUAGCCUUCCAACCAAUCUUUGGUACUAGUCUCUAUUGGUUACUUCUUCAGGCUUGGCAGGUUGUAGUUUUGUAGUUUAAGAUUAGGUUCUGUAGGUGUCUUAGCUGCUUUACACCCUAGUAAACUUGUUUCUCCAAGCAAGGCAAGCACAUAUUUUCUUUGUAAAACAAAAAUACCUUUUCUUGACCUUGCAAAUUCCAUACUGAGAAAAUACUUCAAGUCACCCAAGUCUUUAAUCUCAAAUUCAUUAGCAAGCAUCUGUUUUAAUUUCUCAAGUUCUUUGUUGUCAUUACCUAUCAAAAUAAUAUCGUCAACAUAGACAAUCAGAAUAGCAACAUUCCCUUCACCUGAGUGCUUAUAGAACAUGGUGUGAUCAGCUUGACCUCGGCAGUAAUCAUGACCCUUUACAGCCUUCCCUAAGCGUUCAAACCAAGCUCUUGGAGACUGCUUGAGCCCAUACAAUGAUGUUUUCAAUUUACACACCUUAUCUUUGCCAAGAUUACCUUCAAAACCUGGUGGUAAUUCCAUAAACACUUCAUCCUCUAGAUCUCUAUUUAAAAAAGCAUUCUUUAUAUCCAACUGGUGUAAGGGCUAGUUAGAAUGGACAGCUAAGGAGAGUAACACUCGGAUUGAGUUUAUCUUGGCCACUGGAGCAAACAUUUCUUGAUAGUCAAUUCCGUAUGUUUGUGUAAACUCUUUUGCAACAAGUCUCGCCUUAUAUCUCUCUAUACUGCCAUCAGUCUUGCAUUUAAUUGUAAACACCCAUUUGCAACCUACAGUUUUCUUUUCCUUUGGUAAAUCAAUAAUUUCCCAAGUACUGUUGUUUUGUAGUGCAUUCAUCUCUUCAAGAACUGCUAACUUCCAAUCUGGAUGAUCCAUAGUUUCUUGAAUGGUCCUUGGAACAAAUAGGUACGUCAAGGUCAGUAGCUUGAUCAACUAGAACUGUAGUAUAAGGAUUACCUGGGAUUUCCAAAUGACAAGUUUUUGGAGGUGAUGAUUGAUUAUGCUCUGGAAUUGUGGGA